AAUUUGAUGGCUGGGUUAAAUGGUGAGGUUCCAUUCCAAGUUUUCUGAGGAAUCUCCAAACUGCUUUCUAAAGUGGUUGCACCAAUUUACAGUCCCACCAACAAU
rnacentral:pre_miRNA from 1 species